GUCCACCGCCGCGGUAAUACCGGCAGCCCAAGUGAUGGCCGCUGUUAUUGGGCCUAAAGCGUCCGUAGCUGGCCGCGCAAGUCCGUCGGGAAAUCUACUCGCCCAACGAGUGGGCGUCCGACGGAAACUGCACAGCUUGGGACCGGAAGGCUCGAAGGGUACGUUCGGGGUAGGAGUGAAAUCCUAUAAUCCCGCACGGACCACCGAUGGCGAAAGCACUUCGAGAAAACGGAUCCGACAGUGAGGGACGAAAGCCAGGGUCUCCAACCGGAUUAGAUACCCUUGUAGUCC
rnacentral:rRNA from 1 species